GGGGAUGUUCAUAAGUUGAUAGUUUGCUUUGACAAUUAGCCUGCGGACCGCCUUUUUCGGGAAUGGCGUAAAACUUUCUGAAAAUUAGACAAAUGCCAAUUCAUUUGUCAGCAAAGUGAAGACUGCAUUGGCCAAAACCUUUGCCGUCCCAGCUUUCGCUCCGGUUGUUGCUUAAAAACCAAUAACCCAUUCGCCCCGCAGCCUGAUGCGGGAUUCGCGAGUGUUAAAUUUCAGGCUGGAUAUUUUUCACCGCGCGCUGAAAAAUAUUGAGAAACUUGCGCGCUUUGGCGUUUUGCGAUCUUGGUUGUUCCCUGCGCAAAAUGUCGAAAACCCUUGAACAACCUAUGUCCGAAGAAAGUUAAUUGCCGGUAAACUAGACAGGGGUGCAAGACCCCUCAUCUCCACCA
rnacentral:tmRNA from 1 species